rnacentral:rRNA from 1 species
CCUUUCAAGUGAGUGGCGAACGGGUGAGCUACACGUGGAUAACCUACCUCAAGGUUGGGGAUAACAUUUGGAAACAGAUGCUAAUACCGAAUAAAACUUAGUAUCGCAUGAUACCAGGUUAAAAGGCGCUACGGCGUCACCUAGAGACGGAUCCGCGGUGCAUUAGUUAGUUGGUGGGGUAAAGGCUUACCAAGACAAUGAUGCAUAGCCGAGUUGAGAGACUGAUCGGCCACAUUGGGACUGAGACACGGCCCAAACUCCUACGGGAGGCUGCGGUAGGGAAUCUUCCACAAUGGGCGAAAGCCUGAUGGAGCAACGCCGCGUGUGUGAUGAAGGCUUUCGGGUCGUAAAGCACUGUUGUAUGGGAAGAACAGCUAGAGUAGGGAAUGACUUUAGUUUGACGGUACCAUACCAGAAAGGGACGGCUAAAUACGUGCCAGCAGCCGCGGUAAUACGUAUGUCCCGAGCGUUAUCCGGAUUUAUUGGGCGUAAAGCGAGCGCAGACGGUUAAUUAAGUCUGAUGUGAAAGCCCGGAGCUCAACUCCGGAAAGGCAUUGGAAACUGGUUAACUUGAGUGCAGUAGAGGUAAGUGGAACUCCAUGUGUAGCGGUGGAAUGCGUA